AACGAACGCUGGCGGCAGGCUUAACACAUGCAAGUCGAGCGCCCCGCAAGGGGAGCGGCAGACGGGUGAGUAACGCGUGGGAACGUACCCUUUGCUAGGGAAUAGCUCCGGGAAACUGGAAUUAAUACCGUAUGUGCCCUACGGGGGAAAGAUUUAUCGGCAAAGGAUCGGCCCGCGGUGGAUUAGCUAGUUGGUGGGGUAAUGGCCUACCAAGGCGACGAUCUAUAGCUGGUCUGAGAGGAUGAUCAGCCACAUUGGGACUGAGACACGGCCCAAACUCCUACGGGAGGCGGCAGUGGGGAAUAUUGGUUAAUGGGCGAAAGCCUGACGCAGCCAUGCCGCGUGGAUGAUGAAGGUCUUAGGAUUGUAAAAUCCUUUCACCGGUGAAGAUAAUGACUGUAGCCGGAGAAGAAGCCCCGGCUAACUUCGUGCCAGCCGCCGCUGUAACAC
rnacentral:rRNA from 1 species